UCCAAAUUAUAAUUGCUUUUUCUUCCCCCGGUUCGAGUGUCUAACAAAUUGGGACAGGACAAGUUCCCCGUACCCGAUAGCUCCACACCACGCGCCAACACCACGCGCCAAAACAAUCUAUUCGACCUUGCACGAGCUCUCCUAAACUCUAUCGACUCGAAUUUUCUAAUUAAACGCUCUAUGAUAUUUUGAAGAUAAGUGUGGGCCUGCGAUAGAGAAGGUACAUGGUAUCCUCACUGACAUGCUACAGUAAU
rnacentral:lncRNA from 1 species